GAUGAACGCUGGCGGCGUGCCUAAUACAUGCAAGUCGAGCGAACAGACGAGGAGCUUGCUCCUCUGACGUUAGCGGCGGACGGGUGAGUAACACGUGGAUAACCUACCUAUAAGACUGGGAUAACUUCGGGAAACCGGAGCUAAUACCGGAUAAUAUAUUGAACCGCAUGGUUCAAUAGUGAAAGACGGUUUUGCUGUCACUUAUAGAUGGAUCCGCGCCGCAUUAGCUAGUUGGUAAGGUAACGGCUUACCAAGGCAACGAUGCGUAGCCGACCUGAGAGGGUGGUCGGCCACACUGGAACUGAGACACGGUACAGACUCCGACGGGAGGCAGCAGUAGGGAAUCUUCCGCAAUGGGCGAAAGCCUGACGGAGCAACGCCGCGUGAGUGAUGAAGGUCUUCGGAUCGUAAAACUCUGUUAUUAGGGAAGAACAAAUGUGUAAGUAACUAUGCACGUCUUGACGGUACCUAAUCAGAAAGCCACGGCUAACUACGUG
rnacentral:rRNA from 1 species